UUGAACGCUGGCGGCGGGCCUAACACAUGCAAGUCGAGCGGAUGAAGGGAGCUUGCUCCUGGAUUCAGCGGCGGACGGGUGAGUAAUGCCUAGGAAUCUGCCUGGUAGUGGGGGAUAACGUCCGGAAACGGGCGCUAAUACCGCAUACGUCCUGAGGGAGAAAGUGGGGGAUCUUCGGACCUCACGCUAUCAGAUGAGCCUAGGUCGGAUUAGCUAGUUGGUGGGGUAAAGGCCUACCAAGGCGACGAUCCGUAACUGGUCUGAGAGGAUGAUCAGUCACACUGGAACUGAGACACGGUCCAGACUCCUACGGGAGGCAGCAGUGGGGAAUAUUGGACAAAGGGCGAAAGCCUGAUCCAGCCAUGCCGCGUGUGUGAAGAAGGUCUUCGGAUUGUAAAGCACUUUAAGUUGGGAGGAAGGGCAGUAAGUUAAUACCUUGCUGUUUUGACGUUACCAACAGAAUAAGCACCGGCUAACUUCGUG
rnacentral:rRNA from 1 species